rnacentral:rRNA from 1 species
GAUGAACGCUGGCGGCGUGCCUAAUACAUGCAAGUCGAGCGAACAGACGAGGAGCUUGCUCCUCUGACGUUAGCGGCGGACGUGUGAGUAACACGUGGAUAACCUACCUAUCAGACUGGGAUAACUUCGGAAAACCGGAGCUAAUACCGGAGAAUAUAUUGAACCGCAUGGUUCAAUAGUGAAAGACGGUUUUGCUGUCACUUAUAGAUGGAUCCGCGCCGCAUUAGCUAGUUGGUAAGGUAACGGCUUACCAAGGCGACGAUGCGUAGCCGACGUGACAGGGUGGUCGGCCGCACUGGAGCUGGGACACCGUCCAGACUCCUACGGGAGGCAGCAGUAUGCAAUGUGCCGCAAUGGGCGGAAGCCUGACGGAGCAGCCGCGAGUGAGUGAUGAAGGCCUUCGGAGCGUAAAAACCUGUUAUGAGGGAAAAACAAAUUUCUCAGGAACUAUGCACGUCGUGACGGUACCUAAUCAGAAAGCCACGGCUAACUACGUG